CCCGUCCAGACCCGUCAUCUGUCGACUGCCCAGCUAUAGUGACUGUGUUAACCAGGAGCUGGAGAACGUCUUCAUCUGCGAAGACGAGAAGGCUCUGGAGGUGCGGGACGGCGGUCGUGCUCCCGUUCCUCCUCUUCUUCACGGUGAUCUUCACACACACAGUGCAGAGACGCAGAUCUCCUGCUGCUCUCCUGCCGCUGACGCCGAGAAAGAUUACAGGUGUGGUUCACCUCUGCCUCAGUUUUCCAGCUCUCCUAAACCCAACAACAGUUACACUCUUUAAACGUGAGCCUCCUGAGGGGCUGCGAGAAGGUCAAAGUGUUUGAAGAUCUUAUCACUUGUAGGACACAAGGCUUUCCCAUCUUCUCCUGUCCAGACAGAAACAAGGUGAACUUCACUCCGAGCGGCUCGGCCUUCUGUCCGGUCAAGCUGCUGUGUUCCUCUCUGUUCCCGUCAGAUGAUGCUGCUCGUCCCAGUUCAGGACAGACGUCCGGUUCGUUUGCAGAUCUGCGACCCGCGCCGUCUGAACGCUGUAGUAUCAGGAAGUGCCUGCUGCUCAGUUAGCCAAUCACAGCCCAGAUCUCAGACAGGAAGUUUUGUACUCGCUAAUGAUUGUACUAAAGGACCAUGAUGUUGAACUUUGUCUUGGGGUUUCAUGUAAUUCUGCUGGAAUGCACCAAUCUUUACUUAACCUUGCAGCACAUCCUACUAACCAGGUAAAACGCAUUAGAUAUGACAGAUAAUCGACGGCCAAAAACUGUGCUUCAUGCCUUAACACAACUCAGGUUUAACUUAACAUUAGGGCUGGAUGAUAUAGCUAACUAAUUAUAUUUCAGUAUUUUGAGUCAUCUGAUGAUAUUUUUUUUUUUCCUGUAGAAGAAACAUAAUUUCACCCCAGCAGUUAUUGCGUUGCCUGCAAAAAUGAUUGCAAUAUACAUUGUGCAUGUUCAAUAUGCCCAGCCCUAGCGUUUGUUUAUUGAACAAUAAAAAUGGCAUUGUGUUUUUAGCCUCUUUUACUCACGUGACACUGUUAUGGUGUAUAAAUAAGACUGCUGGAUGCUCAUUUUUCAAAGUAUAAUUUUUGCACUAAUUUCUGUGUUUUAUUGCUUUUUGAAACUGCAUUAUUUGGGUGUGGGAACAGCAACGUGCGUUCUAAAAAUAAAAAAUAAAAAAACAUUGUAACAGCAAUAUGUGCACACAUUAAUGUAAGUAUUAAAGCUGAUAGUCAUGAAAAUU